UCGUUGUAGCAAUACGAUGGAAAGUUUAGUGGCGAACGGGUGCUUAACACGUGGGCAACCUGCCAGGAAGUGGGGGAUAGCUCGCCGAAAGGCGAAUUAAUACCGCAUGUGAUUAGAGAGGACAUCCUUUCGAAAUUAAAGUCGGGGCAACCUGACGCUUCUUGUGGGGCCCGCGGCCUAUCAGCUAGUUGGUGAGGUAACGGCCCACCAAGGCUUUGACGGGUAGCUGGUCUGAGAGGACGACCAGCCACACUGGGACUGAGACACGGCCCAGACACCUACGGGUGGCAGCAGUCGAGAAUUUUUGACAAUGGGGGAAACCCUGAUCGAGCGACGCCGCGUGGAGGAUGAAGGUCUUCGGAUUGUAAACUCCUGUCAUUGGGGAACAAUGCACAGAUAUUAACUGUAUUUGUGUUGAUAGUACCCGAAGAGGAAGAGACGGCUAACUCUGUGCCAGCAGCCGCGGUAAUACAGAGGUCUCAAGCGUUGUUCGGAUUCAUUGGGCGUAAAGGGUGCGUAGGCGGCGCGGUAAGUCGGGUGUGAAAUCUUGGAGCUUAACUCCGAAACUGCAUUCGAUACUGCCGUGCUUGAGGACUGGAGAGGAGACUGGAAUUCACGGUGUAGCA
rnacentral:rRNA from 1 species